UCCGGCUUGUACCGGCAGUCUGCUGUGAUAUGCAACACAGCACGAGGGUUGCGCUCGUUGCGGGACUUAACCCAACAUCUCACGACACGAGCUGACGACAGCCAUGCAACAUCUGUGACGCGGUCUUGCGAGGGCCCUGUUUCCAGGGCUUUCCACGCCAUGUCAAGUCUGGGUAAGGUUCUUCGCGUUGCAUCGAAUUAAACCACACGCUCCGCUGCUUGUGCGGGGACCCGUCAAUUCCUUUGAGUUUUAACCUUGCGGCCGUACUCCCCAGGUGGUCAACUUACUGCGUUAGCUACGGCAGCGAGGGGCUCGAUACCCCCACCACCUAGUUGACAUCGUUUACUGCGUGGACUAC
rnacentral:misc_RNA from 1 species